rnacentral:lncRNA from 13 species
GACACAGAAAGGGAGAGCUUUGGUGAGCGAGAGAGAAUCAAGUCACAGAUCCGGGAGCUGCGCAGCCACCAGACGCAGCAGGGCAGAGAGCUACAUAGGACAGGCUCCAACACAGGCAUGGUUCUAGUUCUGGACCCCCUGGUGAGAAAAGAGGUCUCCGGCCCUCUGCUGAACCACCCAAAGAUCUGGGACCCUGUGACAUCAUCAGAGGUGGAUGUGGUCCUGUCCCACCGCCAGUGCUCUGACUCGACAUCCUCGGACCACACCCUGGCUUCCAGGCCACGUCUCGACUCAGGAGCCUCAGAGAAGAGCCUUGGUCUGGGCUCAGCCUUCAGAACCAGGAUGGACUCAGGAGCGUCAGAAAAUAGCCUGGGUCUGGGCUCAGCCUUCAGGACAAGGGUGGACUCAGGAGCCUCAGAAAAGAGCCUUGGUCUGGGCUCAGCCUUCAGAACCAGGGUGGACUCAGGAGCGUCAGAAAAGAGCCUGGGUCUGGGCUCAGCCUUCAGGACCAGGGUGGACUCAGGAGCGUCAGAAAAGAGCCUGGGUCUGGGCUCAGCCUUCAGGACCAGGGUGGACUCAGGAUCGUCAGACAGAAGCCAGUGUUCAGUCCACAGAGGCAGACUGGACUCUGGGGCCUCCGAGUCCCGCUUCAGACCGAGACUAGACUCUGGCACAUCAGACUCCAGCACGGGACCGCCAGCCCCUCUAGGCUCUGAGACCUCUGACAGUGCAGGGCUGCUGUCACGGAAACGACUGGACUCUGGGACUUCUGACCUGAGCGUGGGUGUCUCUUCUGUUGAGCGGGGCCGUGUGGAAGAGCCAGAGGUGACCAUGAGUAGCUCCUCCUCCAGCACAGAUUCAGAGGCUGAGAGCACCAACCACCAUUCAGCCCAACCCCGCCAAGACCGCUCCACUACCAACUGUGAUCAGCCUGAUGGGGCCGUCCCAUCCAGGAAAGCCUCAGACUCCCACAGUACCUUGCUCAAUGGCAGUUCCAAGGGAAAAGGAGACAUCCAGGAACAGAAGGUCAGAGAUACUUUAUUCACUACUCUCAGCAAAGCAAGCGAUGCAGUGCCUGAAAAGAAGCCGGUUGUCUUGGCCCCGUUUGGCCGGGCUAACUCUGUGCGGGACCGUAUGCGUAAGUUCACAGAGCCCAGCCCAAGCCCCAGUGUCCCAUUCCUGAAGAGGGGCUCUCAGUCUCUAAGGAAUGGGACAGCCCCCAGUGCCCGAGUCCUAGGCAGAGCCACCGAGCUGAGUGAGGGACGAGCAGCAGGGCCAGUCAACCAAACAGCAAUGACCACAGCAGUAUCCAUCAGAUCCCUUACAGACAGGCACGGGAGACCCCAUGUAGGUUCUACAUCGUACUCUUCAUCUUCCUCCUCCUCAGAGAACCUUGUCCAAUGUCAGGGCACAAUUCAGCCAGGGGGCGUGGCCACCAAAGAUCUGCAAACCGCUGCUCAAUCCAUGAGCACUGUAGGCGGGGCGAAGCAGCCGGCUAAAAAGCUGCAGCACUCCUCGGGCAUCUCAAAGGAAGACAAGACCCCAGGGAACCAGGGAGAGGCAGACCCCGACAUGAAGACCUUCCUAACUAUCGAGAUCAAAGAUGGACGCACCAUCACCUCCUCCUCCUCCUGCUCCUCCUCCUCUUCCUCUAGAGGCAACCUGGCCUCCAUGACCCCCAUGGCCCAACGCAUCACCACCAACUCCCUGGGACAGAGAGCAGAGUUGACCAUGGGUCUGAGAGCGACCCCCUUCAAGACCCCCUCCAGCCUCACUUCUGGAUCCUCAUUCAAGGUACUGUAACACUCCACUCCUCCUGUCCUGGCAGAAACGCAGGGUUAAAGACACACUACAGCAAUUUUUUUGACUUAUCCAAUUGAAACACAGUAUCCCAAGUAUAAAUACAGUAAUGUGUACAGCACACACUGAAGGGUAAAACAUAUAUCUUUUCAGCAAAGCAUUUUUUUUGACACAACUGUAAACUUCAAGGAAUAGGGCAUUUAAGGAGAUGGUCUGAUGUGAUGUCACCGGCCUCCCCACUUGCUUGACGAACAACAGAGGAGCAAUAGAGAACAAAAAAGGAAAGCCCCCCCACUUGUGCCAUGACAUGUCAUACCUGGACCACCUAUUGAGGUGUGCCUUUUAAGUGAAUCAGAUGUUAAAUGAGGUGAAAAGGAGACUGGAGUAGGACUUUAAAUGACUGUAACAUGUGUCAAACCUGAGUUUUGCACGUGAUGCCUUUAAAAGCUAUCAAUAAAUGUACGACUGACUAUAAGUUGAACAGUCAUGGUUUUCCUCUUGCCUUAAAAUGUCAUACUUAAUUCUAUUCUAUUCUUUUUUUUUUUUUAAAUGCAUCAUUGUUGUCACAAAGCACUUGCUUUGCCCCUAAAAGCAAGUGCCUCAUGUGCCUAAUAAGAGCGUGAGAGGGAGGGAGAGAGAGCGAGCGAGCAGGGCGGACGUGGUGUUUAUCAAACAAAGAGUGUCCUUGUAGGGUAUGAGAAACAGACAGAGAGGGAGGGAGGUGCACUGGGCACUUCAUUCUCUCUAUGCCCCAUCCCAUCCCUCCUGAGAUUUAUCUCUGCACCUCCCUACAGUCCAUGCCACCUCCCUACAGUCCAUGCCACCUCCCUACAGUCUAUGCCACCUCCCUACAGUCUAUGACACCUCCCUACAGUCUAUGCCACCUCCCUACAGUCCAUGCCACCUCCCUACAGUCCAUGCCACCUCCCUACAGUCCAUGCCACCUCCCUACAGUCUAUGCCAUCUCUCUACAUUCUAUGCCACCUCCCUACAG